AGAUGGCGACCGGCGCACGGGUGAGUAACACGUAUCCAACCUGCCGAUAACUCCGGAAUAGCCUUUCGAAAGAAAGAUUAAUACCGGAUGGCAUACGAAUAUCGCAUGAUAUCUUUAUUAAAGAAUUUCGGUUAUCGAUGGGGAUGCGUUCCAUUAGUUUGUUGGCGGGGUAACGGCCCACCAAGACUACGAUGGAUAGGGGUUCUGAGAGGAAGGUCCCCCACAUUGGAACUGAGACACGGUCCAA
rnacentral:rRNA from 1 species